rnacentral:rRNA from 1 species
UGGGGAAUCUUCCGCAAUGGACGAAAGUCUGACGGAGCAACGCCGCGUGAGUGAAGACGGCCUUCGGGUUGUAAAGCUCUUUGAUCCGGGACGAAAGAGCCUGAGGUGAAUAGCCUAAGGAAGUGACGGUACCGGAAAAGCAAGCCACGGCUAACUACGUGCCAGCAGCCGCGGUAAUACGUAGGUGGCAAGCGUUGUCCGGAAUUAUUGGGCGUAAAGCGCGCGCAGGCGGCUUCCUAAGUCCAUCUUAAAAGUGCGGGGCUUAACCCCGUGAUGGGAUGGAAAAUGGGAAGCUGGAGUAUCGGAGAGGAAAGUGGAAUUCCUAGUGUAGCGGUGAAAUGCGUAGAGAUUAGGAAGAACACCGGUGGCGAAGGCGACUUUCUGGACGAAAACUGACGCUGAGGCGCGAAAGCGUGGGGAGCAAACAGG